AGCGGGGUGGAGAAGAGGAAUCUCGCUGGGCCCAUAACCCGGAGAUCGUGGGUUCGAAUCCCACCCCCGCAACCA
rnacentral:tRNA from 3 species